rnacentral:rRNA from 1 species
AUUGAACGCUGGCGGCGUGCCUAACACAUGCAAGUCGAGCGGUAACAGGUGUAGCAAUACAUGCUGACGAGCGGCGAACGGGUGAGUAAUGCUUCGGAAUCUACCCAAUGGUGGGGAAUAACCAGCCGAAAGGUUGGCUAAUACCGCAUACGUCUCACGGGAGAAAGCAGGGGAUCGCAAGACCUUGCGCCAAUGGAUGAGCCGAAGUCGGAUUAGCUAGNGGUAGGGUAACGGCCUACCAAGGCGACGAUCCGUAGCUGGUCUGAGAGGACGACCAGCCACACUGGGACUGAGACACGGCCCAGACUCCUACGGGAGGCAGCAGUGGGGAAUAUUGGACAAUGGGGGAAACCCUGAUCCAGCGACGCCGCGUGUGUGAAGAAGGCCUGCGGGUU